UACGGGGGGGGCAAGCGUUGUUCGGAAUUACUGGGCGUAAAGGGCUCGUAGGCGGCCAACUAAGUCGGAUGUGAAAUCCCCAGGCUUAACCUGGGAACUGCAUCCGAUACUGGAUGGCUUGAAUCCGGGAGAGGGAUGCAGAAUUCCAGGUGUAGCGGUGAAAUGCGUAGAUAUCUGGAGGAAUACCGGUGGCGAAGGCGGCAUCCUGGACCGGCAUUGACGCUGAACGGCGAAAGCUAGGGGAGCAAACGGG
rnacentral:rRNA from 1 species